GACGAACGCUGGCGGCGUGCUUAACACAUGCAAGUCGAACGUGAUUUUUGUGGAAAUUCUUUCGGGAAUGGAAAUGAAAUGAAAGUGGCGAACGGGUGAGUAACACGUGAGCAACCUACCUUACACAGGGGGAUAGCCGUUGGAAACGACGAUUAAUACCGCAUGAGACCACAGAAUCGCAUGAUAUAGGGGUCAAAGAUUUAUCGGUGUAAGAAGGGCUCGCGUCUGAUUAGCUAGUUGGAAGGGUAAAGGCCUACCAAGGCGACGAUCAGUAGCCGGUCUGAGAGGAUGAACGGCCACAUUGGAACUGAGACACGGUCCAAACUCCUACGGGAGGCAGCAGUGGGGAAUAUUGCACAAUGGGGGGAACCCUGAUGCAGCGACGCCGCGUGAGCGAAGAAGGUUUUCGAAUCGUAAAGCUCUGUCCUAUGAGAAGAUAAUGACGGUAUCAUAGGAGGAAGCCCCGGCUAAAUACGUGCCAGCAGCCGCGGUAAUACGUAUGGGGCGAGCGUUGUCCGGAAUUAUUGGGCGUAAAGGGUACGUAGGCGGUUUUUUAAGUCGGGUGUGAAAGCGUGAGGCUUUACCUCAUUUUCACUUUGAAACUGGAAGACUUGAGUGAAGGGGAGGAAAGUGGAAUUCCUAGUGUAGCGGUGAAAUGCGGAGAUUUUAGGAGGAAUACCGGUGGGGAAAUGCUACUUUUGGAUUUUUACGGACGCUCUGGUACGAAAGCUGUGGGUGAGCAAACUUGUGUAUAUUCCCUGGUGACUUAGGGGGAGUUCCACAGUGUAUUUGAUGUGUUCUUUGCUGGCGAUUUCUGUGUGGGGAAAAGUAAAAAAAAUUUUUUGUCUUUUAUUUGCUUUAUUAUAUUUGUGUGUGUGUGUGCUGGUUUGUUUGUGCUUGCUGUGUUCUGUAAAAAAAAAUUCUUGCUUCGUAU
rnacentral:rRNA from 1 species